rnacentral:rRNA from 1 species
GCCGCGUGUGUGAAGAAGGCCUUUUGCGUUGUAAAGCACUUAAGCGACGAGGAUGCUACCUGUAUUAAUACUCUGGGAUAUUGGACGUUACCCGACACACAUUAAGCACCGGCUAACUCUGUGCCAGCAGCCGCGGUAAUACAGAGGGUGCAAGCGUUAAUCGGAUUUACUGGGCGUAAAGCGUGCGUAGGCGGCUGAUUAAGUCGGAUGUGAAAUCCCUGAGCUUAACUUAGGAAUUGCAUUCGAUACUGGUCAGCUAGAGUAUGGGAGAGGAUGGUAGAAUUCCAGGUGUAGCGGUGAAAUGCGUAGAGAUCUGGAGGAAUACCGAUGGCGAAGGCAGCCAUCUGGCCUAAUACUGACGCUGAGGUACGAAAGCAUGGGGAGCAAACAGGAUUAGAUACCCUGGUAGUCCAUGCCGUAAACGAUGUCUACUAGCCGUUGGGGCCUUUGAGGCUUUAGUGGCGCAGCUAACGCGAUAAGUAGACCGCCUGGGGAGUACGGUCGCAAGACUAAAACUCAAAUGAAUUGACGGGGGCCCGCACAAGCGGUGGAGCAUGUGGUUUAAUUCGAUGCAACGCGAAGAACUUAC